GACGAACGCUGGCGGCGUGCCUAAUACAUGCAAGUUGAGCGCUGAAGGUUGGUACUUGUACCAACUGGAUGAGCAGCGAACGGGUGAGUAACGCGUGGGGAAUCUGCCUUUGAGCGGGGGACAACAUUUGGAAACGAAUGCUAGUACCGCAUAAAAACUUUAAACACAAGUUUUAAGUUUGAAAGAUGCAAUUGCAUCACUCAAAGAUGAUCCCGCGUUGUAUUAGCUAGUUGGUGAGGUAAAGGCUCACCAAGGCGAUGAUACAUAGCCGACCUGAGAGGGGGAUCGGCCACAUUGGGACUGAGACACGGCCCAAACUCCUACGGGAGGCAGCAGUAGGGAAUCUUCGGCAAUGGACGAAAGUCUGACCGAGCAACGCCGCGUGAGUGAAGAAGGGUUUCGGAUCGUAAAACUCUGUUGGUAGAGAAGAACGUUGGUGAGAGUGGAAAGCUCAUCAAGUGACGGUAACUACCCAGAAAGGGACGGCUAACUACGUG
rnacentral:rRNA from 1 species